GAACCGCCACAACGGCUUCCUGGCGUGGCGGGGAUAACCCCAAUGGAGCA
rfam:Rhodobacter sp. CACIA14H1 contig00346, whole genome shotgun sequence.